rnacentral:SRP_RNA from 1 species
GCUGGGCGUGGUGACGUGCGCCUGUAAUCCCAGCUACUUGGGAGGCUGAGGCAUGAGAAUCACUUGAACCCAGGAGGUGGAGGUUGCAGUGAGCCAGGAUCGCACCACUGCACUCCAGCCUGGGCAAUAGAGCGAGACUCUGUCUCUA